rnacentral:rRNA from 1 species
UACAGAGAGUGCAAACGUUGUUCGGAAUCACUGGGCUUAAAGCGCACGUAGGCGGCAUCGUAAGUGUCGGGUGAAAUCCCACGGCUCACCCGUGGAACUGCCCGGCAGACUGCGAUGCUCGAGUGUGGUAGGGGAGAACGGAACUCCUGGUGGAGCGGUGAAAUGCGUAGAUAUCAGGAGGAACACCGGUGGCGAAGGCGGCUCACUGGCUCAUAUCUGACGCUCAGGCGCGACAGCGUGGGGAUCAAACAGG